rnacentral:rRNA from 1 species
GACGAACGCUGGCGGCGUGCUUAACACAUGCAAGUCGAGCGGAAAGGCUCCUUCGGGGGUACUCGAGCGGCGAACGGGUGAGUAACACGUGAGUAAUCUGCCCUGCGCUCUGGGAUAGCCACCGGAAACGGUGAUUAAUACCGGAUACGACCACUUCUCGCAUGGGAUGGUGGUGGAAAGUUUUUCGGCCAGGGAUGUGCUCGCGGCCUAUCAGCUUGAUGGUGAGGUAAUGGCUCACCAUGGCUUCGACGGGUAGCCGGCCUGAGAGGGUGACCGGUCACACUGGGACUGAGACACGGCCCAGACUCCUACGGGAGGCAGCAGUGGGGAAUAUUGGACAAUGGGCGGAAGCCUGAUCCAGCAACGCCGCGUGAGGGAUGACGGCCUUCGGGUUGUAAACCUCUUUCAGCAGGGACGAAGCGCAAGUGACGGUACCUGCAGAAGAAGCACCGGCCAACUACGUGCCAGCCGCCGCUGUAA